rnacentral:rRNA from 1 species
AGAUUAAGUUAUUAAGGGCGCACGGUGGAUGCCUUGGCACUAGAAGCCGAAGAAGGACGUUACUAACGACGAUAUGCUUUGGGUAGCUGUAAGUAAGCGUUGAUCCAGAGAUUUCCGAAUGGGGGAACCCAACAUGAGUUAUGUCAUGUUAUCGACAUGUGAAUUCAUAGCAUGUCAGAAGGCAGACCCGGAGAACUGAAACAUCUUAGUACCCGGAGGAAGAGAAAGAAAAAUCGAUUCCCUGAGUAGCGGCGAGCGAAACGGGAAGAGCCCAAACCAACAAGCUUGCUUGUUGGGGUUGUAGGACACUCUAUACGGAGUUACAAAAGAACAUGUUAGACGAAUCAUCUGGAAAGAUGAAUCAAAGAAGGUAAUAAUCCUGUAGUCGAAAACAUAUUCUCUCUUGAGUGGAUCCUGAGUACGACGGAGCACGUGAAAUUCCGUCGGAAUCUAGGAGGACCAUCUCCUAAGGCUAAAUACUCUCUAGUGACCGAUAGUGAACCAGUACCGUGAGGGAAAGGUGAAAAGUACCCCGGAAGGGGAGUGAAAGAGAACUUGAAACCGUGUGCUUACAAGUAGUCAGAGCCCGUUUAUGGGUGAUGGCGUGCCUUUUGUAGAAUGAACCGGCGAGUUACGAUCUGAUGCAAGGUUAAGCAGCGAAUGUGGAGCCGUAGCGAAAGCGAGUCUGAAUAGGGCGUUGAGUAUUUGGUCGUAGACCCGAAACCAGGUGAUCUACCCUUGGUCAGGUUGAAGUUCAGGUAACACUGAAUGGAGGACCGAACCGACUUACGUUGAAAAGUGAGCGGAUGAACUGAGGGUAGCGGAGAAAUUCCAAUCGAACUUGGAGAUAGCUGGUUCUCUCCGAAAUAGCUUUAGGGCUAGCCUCAAGUGAUGAUUAUUGGAGGUAGAGCACUGUUUGGACGAGGGGCCCCUCUCGGGUUACCGAAUUCAGACAAACUCCGAAUGCCAAUCAAUUUAACUUGGGAGUCAGAACAUGGGUGAUAAGGUCCGUGUUCGAAAGGGAAACAGCCCAGACCACCAGCUAAGGUCCCAAAAUAUAUGUUAAGUGGAAAAGGAUGUGGCGUUGCCCAGACAACUAGGAUGUUGGCUUAGAAGCAGCCAUCAUUUAAAGAGUGCGUAAUAGCUCACUAGUCGAGUGACACUGCGCCGAAAAUGUACCGGGGCUAAACAUAUUACCGAAGCUGUGGAUUGUCCUUCGGACAAUGGUAGGAGAGCGUUCUAAGGGCGUUGAAGCAUGAUCGCAAGGACAUGUGGAGCGCUUAGAAGUGAGAAUGCCGGUGUGAGUAGCGAAAGACGGGUGAGAAUCCCGUCCACCGAUUGACUAAGGUUUCCAGAGGAAGGCUCGUCCGCUCUGGGUUAGUCGGGUCCUAAGCUGAGGCCGACAGGCGUAGGCGAUGGAUAACAGGUUGAUAUUCCUGUACCACCUAGUAUCGUUUUAAUCGAUGGGGGG